rnacentral:rRNA from 1 species
GAUGAACGCUAGCGGCAGGCCUAAUACAUGCAAGUCGGACGGGAUCCAUUGAUAGCUUGCUAUCAAUGGUGAGAGUGGCGCACGGGUGCGUAACGCGUGAGCAACCUGCCUCCAUCAGGGGGAUAGCCUCUCGAAAGAGAGAUUAACACCGCAUAAUAUCAACAGUUCGCAUGUUCAGUUGAUUAAAUAUUUAUAGGAUGGAGAUGGGCUCGCGUGACAUUAGCUAGUUGGUAGGGUAACGGCUUACCAAGGCGACGAUGUCUAGGGGCCCUGAGAGGAGAAUCCCCCACACUGGUACUGAGACACGGACCAGACUCCUACGGGAGGCAGCAGUAAGGAAUAUUGGUCAAUGGGCGGAAGCCUGAACCAGCCAUGCCGCGUGCAGGAUGACUGCACUAUGGGUUGUAAACUGCUUUUGUCCAGGAAUAAACCUAAAUACGAGUAUUUAGCUGAAUGUACUGGAAGAAUAAGAAUCGGCUAACUCCGUG